UUGCUUCCAUAGCAUAUACACCGAAACUAGACUGAUACAGAGAAGAUUAUUAGCAUGGCCCCUGUGCAACAGUGAUCUGCAAAUUCAUGAGCCAUUCCUUAAAACC